rnacentral:rRNA from 1 species
GACGAACGCUGGCGGCGUGCUUAACACAUGCAAGUCGAACGGAAAGGCCCUGCUUUUGUGGGGUGCUCGAGUGGCGAACGGGUGAGUAACACGUGAGUAACCUGCCCUUGACUUUGGGAUAACUUCAGGAAACUGGGGCUAAUACCGGAUAGGAGCUCCUGCUGCAUGGUGGGGGUUGGAAAGUUUCGGCGGUUGGGGAUGGACUCGCGGCUUAUCAGCUUGUUGGUGGGGUAGUGGCUUACCAAGGCUUCGACGGGUAGCCGGCCUGAGAGGGUGACCGGCCACAUUGGGACUGAGAUAGGGCCCAGACUCCUACGGGAGGCAGCAGUGGGGAAUAUUGCACAAUGGGCGGAAGCCUGAUGCAGCAACGCCGCGUGCGGGAUGACGGCCUUCGGGUUGUAAACCGCUUUCGCCUGUGACGAAGCGUGAGUGACGGUAAUGGGUAAAGAAGCACCGGCUAACUACGUG